rnacentral:rRNA from 1 species
CAGUCGCCGCGGGAAUACGUAGGGUGCAAGCGUUAAUCGGAAUUACUGGGCGUAAAGCGUGCGCAGGCGGUUAUAUAAGACAGAUGUGAAAUCCCCGGGCUCAACCUGGGAACUACAUUUGUGACUGUAUAGCUAGAGUACGGCAGAGGGGGAUGGAAUUCCGCGUGUAGCAGUGAAAUGCGUAGAUAUGCGGAGGAACACCGAUGGCGAAGGCAAUCCCCUGGGCCUGUACUGACGCUCAUGCACGAAAGCGUGGGGAGCAAACAGGAUUAGAUACCCCGGUAGUCCCUGUCUCUUAUAC